CCAAUGGGGGCCGCUAUAAUGCAAGUCGAACGCUUCUUUCCUCCCGAGUGCUUGCACUCAAUUGGAAAGAGGAGUGGCGGACGGGUGAGUAACACGUGGGUAACCUACCCAUCAGAGGGGGAUAACACUUGGAAACAGGUGCUAAUACCGCAUAACAGUUUAUGCCGCAUGGCAUAAGAGUGAAAGGCGCUUUCGGGUGUCGCUGAUGGAUGGACCCGCGGUGCAUUAGCUAGUUGGUGAGGUAACGGCUCACCAAGGCCACGAUGCAUAGCCGACCUGAGAGGGUGAUCGGCCACACUGGGACUGAGACACGGCCCACACUCCUACGGGAGGCAGCAGUAGGGAAUCUUCGGCAAUGGACGAAAGUCUGACCGAGCAACGCCGCGUGAGUGAAGAAGGUUUUCGGAUCGUAAAACUCUGUUGUUAGAGAAGAACAAGGACGUUAGUAACUGAACGUCCCCUGACGGUAUCUAACCAGAAAGCCACGGCUAACUACGUGCCAGCAGCCGCGGUAAUACGUAGGUGGCAAGCGUUGUCCGGAUUUAUUGGGCGUAAAGCGAGCGCACGCGGUUUCUUAAGUCUGAUGUGAAAGCCCCCGGCUCAACCGGGGAGGGUCAUUGGAAACUGGGAGACUUGAGUGCAGAAGAGGAGAGUGGAAUUCCAUGUGUAGCGGUGAAAUGCGUAGAUAUAUGGAGGAACACCAGUGGCGAAUGCGGCUCUCUGGUCUGUAACUGACGCUGAGGCUCGAAAGCGUGGGGAGCAAACAGGAUUAGAUACCCUGGUAGUCCACGCCGUAACGAUGAGUGCUAAGUGUUGGACGGUUUCCCGCCCUUCAGUGCUGCAGCAAACGCAUUAAGCACUCCGCCUGGGGAGUACGACCGCAAGGUUGAAACUCAAAGGAAUUGACGGGGGCCUGCACAAGCGGUGGAGCAUGAUGGUUUAAUUCCAAGCAACGCGGAGAACCUUAUCAGGUCUUGACAUCCUUUGACCACUCUAGAGAUAGAAGCUUUCCCUUCGGGCACAUACUGACCAGGUGGUGCAUGGUUUGAUCUCACUUCGUGUCUGAGAUUGUUGGGUUUAGUUCCCGCAACGAGCGCAACCCUUCAUUGGUAGCUUUGCCAUUAGUUAGUUUGGGCACUGCUAGCAGAACUUGCCGUGACAAUCUGAAGAAGGUGGGAUUGACUUCAAUCAAUCUGUGCCC
rnacentral:rRNA from 1 species